rnacentral:rRNA from 1 species
CAGUAGCCGCGGGAAUACGAAGGGUGCAAGCGUUAAUCGGAAUUACUGGGCGUAAAGCGUGCGUAGGCGGUGAGUUAAGUCUGCUGUGAAGUCCCCGGGCUCAACCUGGGAAUGGCAGUGGAUACUGGCUCGCUAGAGUGUGUCAGAGGAUGGUGGAAUUCCCGGUGUAGCGGUGAAAUGCGUAGAGAUCGGGAGGAACACCGAUGGCGAAGGCAGCCCCCUGGGCCAAUACUGACGCUCAUGCACGAAAGCGUGGGGAGCAAACAGGAUUAGAUACCCCCGUAGUCCCUGUCUCUUAUAC